CAUGGCUCUGUAGGGCAAAGGGAGGCUAUGGCCUGAGAGUUGCCCUAGUUACUACUAGUGGGAUUUGUCAGGGCACCAUUUUUGGACCAGUACUUUUUAAUUAUUUUAUCAGUGACUCUAAUAGCAAUCUUGGGAGUGCUGACUCCCUCAAGGGUAGAGAGGCCUUGCACCAAGAUUUUGGCACAUUAGAGAGUAGUCACCAUCUGCACGAAGAAGAGCAAAAGCUGGAUUCUGUACCAAGAAUGGGGCAGCCCUGUCUCUGUACAGACUGGGAGAUGAGGAGAUGGAGAGAAACUCUGCACAAAGGUUUUAAGAUUACAGAAUGAUGGACACUAUAUCACGAAAUAUCUGCAGCUGCUUCGUGAAAUCAACACUGUAAUCUGAAUAACUUGUGAUCAGACCUUGUUGACAAGAUUACAAGAGAAGCCAACCAAAAAGCCCACAGAAAAAAAAAAAGCUGGAACUACAGAAUAUCUAGUAGUGAGAAAACAAUGAUGAGAAGGAACAUACCAUGAUGAAGGCAUUUUUAUGGACUUGUGAAAGCUGAGUAGAAGAAUUCUACACAUGAACUACAUCAGAUUUUUCCAUUCUGAAGCCAUCCUUCAGUUUCUAUUCUCUGUCUCCCAUGACCAAGUUUCAGAAACUAAUGAAGCAUUAGCAUUGAAAUAAACAGACUGCAUAGCUCUUGA